CCUACGGGAGGCAGCAGUGAGGAAUAUUGGUCAAUGGACGAGAGUCUGAACCAGCCAAGUAGCGUGAAGGAUGACUGCCCUAUGGGUUGUAAACUUCUUUUAUAAAGGAAUAAAACGAGGCACGUGUGCCUUUUUGCAUGUACUUUAUGAAUAAGGAUCGGCUAACUCCGUUCCAGCAGCCGCGGUAAGACGGAGGAUCCGAGCGUUAUCCGGAUUUAUUUGGUUUAAAGGGAGCGUAGAUGGGUUGUUAAGUCAGUUGUGAAAGUUUGCGGCUCAACCGUAAAAUUGCAAUUGAUACUGGCAGUCUUGAGUACAGUUGAGGUAGGCGGAAUUCGUGGUGUAGCGGUGAAAUGCUUAGAUAUCACGAAGAACCCCGAUUGCGAAGGCAGCUUACUAAACUGUGACUGACAUUGAUGCUCGAAAGUGUGGGUAUCAAACAGGAUUAGAUACCCUAGUAGUC
rnacentral:rRNA from 1 species